rnacentral:rRNA from 1 species
GGUUUUUUGAAUUAUAAUUUAAGAUUAGUUCUGCUCAAUGAUUUGAAAUUAAAUAGCCGCAGUAUUUUGACUGUGCUAAGGUAGCAUAAUCAAUUGUUUUUUAAUUAAGAACUGGAAUGAAGGAAUUGAUGAGAUUAAGACUGUCUAAUAUAAAAUGUUAAAAUUUAAAUUUUAAGUAAUAAUUCUUAAAUAAAAUUAUGGGACGAGAAGACCCUAUAGAAUUUGAUAUAAUUUUUUAAAAUAAAUAUAAAAUAAGAUUUAAUAAAAUUAAUAUUUUAUUGGGAGGAUAAUUAAAUUAAAUUAACUUUAAAAUUAAAAUUGAACAUUAAUUUAUGAUAAUAAUUGAAUAAUUUUAUAAUAAUAAUUAAAAUUAAUUAAAAAUUAAUUACCUUAGGGAUAACAGCGUAAUAUUUUUAAAAAGAUCAUAUUGAUAAAAGUGUUUGCGACCUCGAUGUUGAAUUAAAAUAAAAAUUAAAUGAAGAAGUUUAAUAUUUUA